AGCGAACGCUGGCGGCAUGCCUAACACAUGCAAGUCGAACGAACCUUUCGGGGUUAGUGGCGGAUGGGUGAGCAACCCGUGGGAUCGCGCCUUUAGGUUCGGAAUCACUCAUGGAAAUUUGUCCUAAUACCGAAUGUGCCUUCCGGGGGUUCGUUUGUUCGCCUUUAGAGCGGCGUGCGUCUGGUUUGCUAGUUGGUUGAGGUAAUGGCCCGCCAAGGCGACGAUUAGUAGCUGGUCGGAGCAGAUGAUCAGCCACGUUGGGACUGAGACACGGCCCCAACUGCUACGGGAGGCAGCAGUGGAGAAUAUUGCGCGAUGGACGAAGGCCUAGCGCAGCCGUGCCGGGUGAAUGAUGCAGGUCUUAGGAUUGUAAAAUUCUUUCACCGGAGACGAUAGUGACGGUACCCGGAGAAGAAGCCCCGGCUAACUACGUG
rnacentral:rRNA from 1 species